ACUCCUACGGGAGGCAGCAGUGGGGAAUUUUGGACAAUGGGCGCGAGCCUGAUCCAGCAAUGCCGCGUGCAGGAAGAAGGCCUUCGGGUUGUAAACUGCUUUUGUCAGGGAAGAAAUCCUCUGGGCUAAUACCUCGGGGGGAUGACGGUACCUGAAGAAUAAGCACCGGCUAACUACGUGCCAGCAGCCGCGGUAAUACGUAGGGUGCGAGCGUUAAUCGGAAUUACUGGGCGUAAAGCGUGCGCAGGCGGCUUUGCAAGGCAGAGGUGAAAUCCCCGGGCUCAACCUGGGAACUGCCUUUGUGACUGCAAGGCUAGAGUACGGCAGAGGGAGAUGGAAUUCCGCGUGUAGCAGUGAAAUGCGUAGAUAUGCGGAGGAACACCGAUGGCGAAGGCAAUCUCCUGGGCCUGUACUGACGCUCAUGCACGAAAGCGUGGGGAGCAAACAGGAUUAGAUACCCUGGUAGUCCACGCCCUAAACGAUGUCAACUGGUUGUUGGACGGCUUGCUGUUCAGUAACGAAGCUAACGCGUGAAGUUGACCGCCUGGGGAGUACGGCCGCAAGGUUGAAACUGAAAGGAAUUGACGG
rnacentral:rRNA from 1 species